GCUUAGAAGCAGCCAUCAUUUAAAGAAAGCGUAAUAGCUCACUGGUCGAGUCGGCCUGCGCGGAAGAUGUAACGGGGCUAAACCAUGCACCGAAGCUGCGGCAGCGACGCUGAUGCGUUGUUGGGUAGGGGAGCGUUCUGUAAGCCUGUGAAGGUGUGCUGUGAGGCAUGCUGGAGGUAUCAGAAGUGCGAAUGCUGACAUAAGUAACGAUAAAGCGGGUGAAAAGCCCGCUCGCCGGAAGACCAAGGGUUCCUGUCCAA
rnacentral:rRNA from 1 species